AUGCUGGAGGUAUCAGAAGUGCGAAUGCUGACAUAAGUAACGAUAAAGCGGGUGAAAAGCCCGCUCGCCGGAAGACCAAGGGUUCCUGUCCAACGUUAAUCGGGGCAGGGUGAGUCGACCCCUAAGGCGAGGCCGAAAGGCGUAGUCGAUGGGAAACAGGUUAAUAUUCCUGUACUUGGUGUUACUGCGAAGGGGGGACGGAGAAGGCUAUGUUGGCCGGGCGACGGUUGUCCCGGUUUAAGCGUGUAGGCUGGUUUUCCAGGCAAAUCCGGAAAAUCAAGGCUGAGGCGUGAUGACGAGGCACUACGGUGCUGAAGCAACAAAUGCCCUGCUUCCAGGAAAAGCCUCUAAGCAUCAGGUAACAUCAAAUCGUACCCCAAACCGACACAGGUGGUCAGGUAGAGAAUACCAAGGCGCUUGAGAGAACUCGGGUGAAGGAACUAGGCAAAAUGGUGCCGUAACUUCGGGAGAAGGCACGCUGAUAUGUAGGUGAAGCGCCUCGCGGAUGGAGCUGAAAUCAGUCGAAGAUACCAGCUGGCUGCAACUGUUUAUUAAAAACACAGCACUGUGCAAACACGAAAGUGGACGUAUACGGUGUGACGCCUGCCCGGUGCCGGAAGGUUAAUUGAUGGGGUUAGCGCAAGCGAAGCUCUUGAUCGAAGCCCCGGUAAACGGCGGCCGUAACUAUAACGGUCCUAAGGUAGCGAAAUUCCUUGUCGGGUAAGUUCCGACCUGCACGAAUGGCGUAAUGAUGGCCAGGCUGUCUCCACCCGAGACUCAGUGAAAUUGAACUCGCUGUGAAGAUGCAGUGUACCCGCGGCAAGACGGAAAGACCCCGUGAACCUUUACUAUAGCUUGACACUGAACAUUGAGCCUUGAUGUGUAGGAUAGGUGGGAGGCUUAGAAGUGUGGACGCCAGUCUGCAUGGAGCCGACCUUGAAAUACCACCCUUUAAUGUUUGAUGUUCUAACGUGGACCCGUAAUCCGGGUUGCGGACAGUGUCUGGUGGGUAGUUUGACUGGGGCGGUCUCCUCCUAAAGAGUAACGGAGGAGCACGAAGGUUGGCUAAUCCUGGUCGGACAUCAGGAGGUUAGUGCAAUGGCAUAAGCCAGCUUGACUGCGAGCGUGACGGCGCGAGCAGGUGCGAAAGCAGGUCAUAGUGAUCCGGUGGUUCUGAAUGGAAGGGCCAUCGCUCAACGGAUAAAAGGUACUCCGGGGAUAACAGGCUGAUACCGCCCAAGAGUUCAUAUCGACGGCGGUGUUUGGCACCUCGAUGUCGGCUCAUCACAUCCUGGGGCUGAAGUAGGUCCCAAGGGUAUGGCUGUUCGCCAUUUAAAGUGGUACGCGAGCUGGGUUUAGAACGUCGUGAGACAGUUCGGUCCCUAUCUGCCGUGGGCGCUGGAGAACUGAGGGGGGCUGCUCCUAGUACGAGAGGACCGGAGUGGACGCAUCACUGGUGUUCGGGUUGUCAUGCCAAUGGCACUGCCCGGUAGCUAAAUGCGGAAGAGAUAAGUGCUGAAAGCAUCUAAGCACGAAACUUGCCCCGAGAUGAGUUCUCCCUGACCCUUUAAGGGUCCUGAAGGAACGUUGAAGACGACGACGUUGAUAGGCCGGGUGUGUAAGCGCAGCGAUGCGUUGAGCUAACCGGUACUAAUGAACCGUGAGGCUUAACCUU
rnacentral:rRNA from 1 species